rnacentral:rRNA from 1 species
UACGUAGGGUGCGAGCGUUAAUCGGAAUUACUGGGCGUAAAGCGUGCGCAGGCGGUCCGCUAAGACCGAUGUGAAAUCCCCGGGCUUAACCUGGGAACUGCAUUGGUGACUGGCGGGCUGGAGUAUGGCAGAGGGGGGUAGAAUUCCACGUGUAGCAGUGAAAUGCGUAGAGAUGUGGAGGAAUACCGAUGGCGAAGGCGGCCCCCUGGACAAAGACUGACGCUCAGGUGCGAAAGCGUGGGGAGCAAACAGG